AUUCAAAAAAAAAAAAAAAAAAAAAAAAAAAAAAA
rnacentral:ribozyme from 1 species